AUGAACGCUGGCGGCGUGCCUAAUACAUGCCAGUCGAGCGAACGGACGAGAAGCUUGCUUUUCUGAUGUUAGCGGCGGACGGGUGAGUAACACGUGGAUAACCUACCUAUAAGACUGGGAUAACUUCGGGAAACCGGAGCUAAUACCGGAUAAUAUUUUGAACCGCAUGGUUCAAAAGUGAAAGACGGUCUUGCUGUCACUUAUAGAUGGAUCCGCGCUGCAUUAGCUAGUUGGUAAGGUAACGGCUUACCAAGGCAACGAUGCAUAGCCGACCUGAGAGGGUGAUCGGCCACACUGGAACUGAGACACGGUCCAGACUCCUACGGGAGGCAGCAGUAGGGAAUCUUCCGCAAUGGGCGAAAGCCUGACGGAGCAACGCCGCGUGAGUGAUGAAGGUCUUCGGAUCGUAAAACUCUGUUAUUAGGGAAGAACAUAUGUGUAAGUAACUGUGAACAUCUUGACGGUACCUAAUCAGAAAGCCACGGCUAACUACGUG
rnacentral:rRNA from 1 species